rnacentral:rRNA from 1 species
AUGGUGCUCCAAGCAGCAGCAACAUCCCUGGUGGCUUCUCUGCGGUCACCAUGGAGCGUGCUCUGCGGCCCCGGCGGCUCGGCCGGGCGCUCCCGGACGCAGGGUCUCGGCGGCACGGCGUACCGCUUCCCCGCCGGGGACUCAGCCGAGAACGCCCGGCAGAGCCAGGAGGCGCUGUCCAAGCCCAUGCCGCCGUCGUGCCACGACGUUGUUCCCCGCGUGAUGCCGCACCUCCACAAGACUGUCAAGGAACACGGUGAAGUGUGCAUCACCUGGGACGCCCUGGAGCCCAGGGUCGUCAUCGCAAAGCCAGAGCUGGUGACCCAGAUCCUAUCUAGCAACUCUGGCCACUUCGAGAAACUCAGGACCAAUCUUGGAGACCUGGUAUGCCGCGGGGUCGGGACCUACGACGGCGAGAAAUGGGCGAGGCAUAGGAGGAUUCUCAACCCUGCUUUCCAUCUUGAAAAGCUCAAGGCCAUGUUCCCUGCUUUCUCCACGUGCUGCACCGAGCUGGUGGACAGAUGGGAGAGUAAACUACUGGCUGCAGGUUGUGAGGGGUCGGUCGAACUCGACGUCUCCCAGGAGUUCCCGGUCCUCACCGGAGACGUGAUCACCCGCACAUCGUUCGGUAGCAGCUUCACCGAAGGAAGAAGAAUCUUUGAGCUUCAAGUAGACCAGGCAAAGAGACUUAUGAAGCUCCUCCAGUAUUUGUACAUCCCGGGCUUCUUGUAA